rnacentral:rRNA from 1 species
GAUGAACGCUAGCUACAGGCUUAACACAUGCAAGUCGCGGGGCAGCAUGGGGGUUGCUUGCAAUCCCCGAUGGCGACCGGCGCACGGGUGAGUAACGCGUAUUCAACCUGCCCUUCACCACGGGAUAACCCGGCGAAAGUCGGACUAAUACCGUAUGUUGUCCAUUGACGGCAUCCGAUUUGGACGAAAGGCUUGGCGGUGAGGGGUGGGGAUGCGUCCGAUUAGCCAGACGGCGGGGUAACGGCCCACCGUGGCUACGAUCGGUAGGGGUUCUGAGAGGAAGGUCCCCCACACGGGAACUGAGACACGGUCCAGACUCCUACGGGAGGCAGCAGUGAGGAAUAUUGGUCAAUGGGCGUAAGCAUGAACCAGCCAAGUAGCGUGCAGGAGGACGGCCCUAGGGGUUGUAAACUGCUUUUAUGCGGGGAUAAAGUGGCCCACGUGUGGGCUUUUGCAGGUACCGCAUGAAUAAGGACCGGCUAAUUCCGUG